CGAUUCUAAAAUAUAAUAUCAAUGGAAUAAAACUUAACUAUAUUAUAAAAUUAUUCUAUUUUAGAAUGAAAAUUACUAAAGUGAACAUGUUAGAAAGACAUGAUCACGCACAAAGAAGCUUGAAAAGAACCCUAAAGGUAAUAUAUUUUUUUUGUUUUGCGUGUACCGUUGGAUCAGUACGACGAAUGUUCAAUACGGACGUCUUCUUCUUAGUCAUUCUUGUCUUUGUUCGAUCAGUAUAGGUGAAUUUAUGUAGAGAACUUUGUAUAAUGUUUUUGCUUUGGAUUUAUGCAUGGGAAAAAUACGAAAAAUUAUUCUAGAAACAUUUUUCACUGUUAUCCUAUAAAUAAGUAUUAAGAUAUAAUUAUAUGAGAUUAUUGACAUUUGACUUUUCGUAAUACAAAUGAAUUAACUAAAAGCAUAGUUUAUGUUUUCACAUUUUAAUAGUACCAACAUCAACUACACGCUUGUCCCUAACAUACCGGACGAUAACCUGCAAAGAAUGUGCAUCGGUCAAACAUGUUUUUACAUUAUUCAUUAAAUAAACAGGCUACAAUGUAUGUAACUUGAAGCUCUCAUACAUAUUUGUAAAACCUCUGUAUAAAUAAACCAUAAAGUCAAAACCUUUGAAAAGUCUUUAUACGAAAGCUUGUACAACUGGCUUACCUCUCAAUCCAUGGUGCAAUUAUAUAAAAGCGAGAUCUCAGCUCCUGGAUUUGACACCUGGUAGAUUCUGAAUUGAAGAUGUAUGUUACAAGACGUCUUUCUGAGUACCAGAGGAACCCGUUGGAGUUGGAACAGCGGCCACCAGAAGGUCCAAACUCUGGAGUACUUGUGAUUCAAGACGAAGAGUCAAGACCCCUCUCUUGCUUUGGGUUGUGCUAUGGUCAAGAUCUAAAAGGCUUGCCGUUCCCACAAAACGCAAAGCUGACCGUGAGCUAUAGUGACGGAGAUGACUCAUAUCAUGACCCGGUCUUGUUCAUCCCGGUUCUCGAUCAGCCCUUAUCUUCAAACUGUUAUUACGUUAUUAUAAGACGUGGGAAGCAUUCAGGAGAAGCAUCGGCAAGUGCCAAAGAGGAAGACAGAGUCCCAUGCUGCUUUUGUUUCAACUAUGUACCUGAAGCUAAGCCACGACAAGCAGAUCCUUAUGACAUAUACUAACAAUUCGAGAUCCAUCAACGAAAGUCUUAUUAUUACUCUGCAACAUCCGUUGCUCCUGACGGGGUGCCACCCUGGUUCCUUAAAAGAAAAAACUGGAGGGCUGGGUACUCAACUUCCCAAGACUUUGGUCUAAUAGAUGAUGCAAAGGGAAUCAACACUAUGCUUCGUUCCAAGCUUCCUGGUGAUUUUAAUACAAGCGUUGUGGUAGGGAAAUGGUAUGUUCCUUUCAUAUUUGUGAAAGAAAGAGACGCAAAGGCUCAGAUAAAGAAAUCAACCUAUUACAGCAUGACGCUUAGACAAAGUUGGGAAGAGGUUUACUCAUGUGGAAACCUUGAUUACAAGAAAGAAAACGGAGAAGUUGUAGUUGAUGUUGAAAUAGAAUCAGAAUUGGUGAAGCUUGAAGGGCAAGUGAUUGGAAAAGAAAUCAGAGGUGUGGAUGAAAAUGGGGUUGUGUGGUUCGAGAUUGCAGGCAAGAAGAUAGGUUUAAGAACAAUGGUCGUGGAGAGGAUGAAAUGGGAAGAGGAGAGAUUUGGAUGGUCGAAGGAAACCGAUGACAUAAAGUCUAGCAUUAAGAGAUCAGAGAGAUUUGAAGGUGAUGCAAUGCUUUGGCAGAGCUAUAAAUGUUAUGUAUUGGUAGAGAGCUUUGAAUUGAAGAGAAUGGAUGGGAGUUUGGUGUUGACAUUUGAGUUUAGACAUGUUGAUAAGUUAAAGAGCAAGUGGGAUUAAGUUCAAUCGAUUUAUGUUUUCAUUGUGUCAUGUGUGCAACUGUUGAUUUAAUACCUUGGUGAAGAAGUUUCAUGCAUGUUUAUGUAAUAAUAUAAACCUAAGGUCAUGUUUCAUGUAAUCUCAACUUUUAUGAAUCUAAAUUGGUUGCUUGAUUUUCUAUGCUGGGUUUGGUAAUCUUUAAUCAACUUAAUGUAAUUGAUAUUUUGGAACUUAAAAUUGGAUAAAAGCAAAACCAAGGUUUUUGAGCAAAGUGAUUAAAAUCGGUCCAAAAGCUGAUCGAUAUAGUAAAAAUAUGUAAUGUAGCGAUCCUAAUAUUCAGCUUAACCACAAUGUUGUUUCCGUUGAAUUUCAAAUGAAUAAAAUACUAACAACU